AACGCGAAGAACCUUACCUACCCUUGACAUGCCUGGAACCCUGCAGAGAUGUGGGGGUGCUCGAAAGAGAGCCAGGACACAGGUGCUGCAUGGCCGUCGUCAGCUCGUGUCGUGAGAUGUUGGGUUAAGUCCCGCAACGAGCGCAACCCUUGCCAUUAGUUGCUACGAAAGGGCACUCUAAUGGGACUGCCGGUGACAAACCGGAGGAAGGUGGGGAUGACAUCAGGUCCUCAUGGCCCUUAUGGGUAGGGCUACACACGUCAUACAAUGGCCGGUACAGAGGGCUGCCAACCCGCGAGGGGGAGCCAAUCCCAGAAAACCGGUCGUAGUCCGGAUUGCAGUCUGCAACUCGACUGCAUGAAGUCGGAAUCGCUAGUAAUCGCGAUCAGAA
rnacentral:rRNA from 1 species